ACGUUACCUACAGAAGAAAGCACCGGCUAACUCCGUGCCAGCAGCCGCGGUAAUACGGAGGGUGCGAGCGUUAAUCGGAAUUACUGGGCGUAAAGCGCAUGCAGGCGGCCGUGUUAAGUCAGAUGUGAAAGACCCGGGGCGUUAACCUCGGAAUUGCAUUUGAAACUAGGCAGGCUAGAGUCUUGUAGAGGGGGGGUAGGAAGUUUCAGGUGUAGCGGUGAAAUAGCGUAGAGAUCUGAAGGAAUACCAGUGGCGAAGGCGGCCCCCUCGGACAAAGACUGACGCUCAGAUGCGAAAGCGUGGGGAGCAAACAGGAUUAGAUACCCUGGUAG
rnacentral:rRNA from 1 species